UACAGAGGGUGCGAGCGUUAAUCGGAAUUACUGGGCGUAAAGCGUGCGUAGACGGCUAUCUAAGUCGGGUGUGAAAGCCCCGGGCUCAACCUGGGAAUUGCAUUCGAGACUGAAUAGCUAGGGUACGGUAGAGGGAAGUGGAAUUUCCGGUGUAGCGGUGAAAUGCGUAGAUAUCGGAAGGAACAUCAGUGGCGAAAGCGACUUCCUGGACCAGUACUGACGCUCAUGUGCGAAAGCGUGGGGAGCAAACAGG
rnacentral:rRNA from 1 species